rnacentral:sRNA from 1 species
CCUCCUCGACUUGUUGGGGGCAAAUGUAGUGAACGUGUGCAUCAAUGGCACCAGCCGUAAUUAUCAUUUUCUCUCCAGCGAUGACUUCUGUCGACGACCCAAUGACGAGCGAAGGAUGGACGUUUGCCAUCACGUCUGGAUUCCCGGCUUUUCCAAUACCACAAAUGUGUCCGUUCUUGACGCCAAUGUCUGCCUUAUAAAUGCCCGACCAGUCGACAAUGAGCGCGUUGGUGAUGACAAGGUCAAGUGAGUCCGCCGACGAGCGAUUUGUCGCCUGUCCCAUCCCCUCACGG